rnacentral:lncRNA from 1 species
AAUUUUACUGUAAUAUAGUUUCCUACAAUUUAUACCAAAAAAAAAACUCAACGUUCACUGCAUGUGAUAGUAUGAUUUUCUAAUCAAACUUUCAUAACUCAAACAUGGCUACUCUAAAAAGAAAAAUAUAUCGAGUCAUAUUCAUAUGAACAAAAUUAAAUAUUGAUAUUGGCGAGUUAUAUGACUACUGUUUUUCCAUAAAGAAUCACAUGCGUAAGAAACAUGUCUAGCAAGAAAAAAAAUCAUUUGGACUUAUGAAUCAAGUAUAAAUGGUAUCAACACAAACACAUGAAAAAGAUAGGUAUAUAAGAUUAAAGAAAAAUACAUGGUAUGGAGUAACAGGAAUAACAACAUCUAAGUAUGGCUGAAUGGCAACUAACCUCGAGUCACUUAA